rnacentral:rRNA from 1 species
UACGUAGGGUGCAAGCGUUGUCCGGAAUUAUUGGGCGUAAAGAGCUCGUAGGCGGUCUGUUGCGUCGGCUGUGAAAACCCGGGGCUCAACCCCGGGCCUGCAGUCGAUACGGGCAAACUAGAGUACUGCAGGGGAGACUGGAAUUCCUGGUGUAGCGGUGAAAUGCGCAGAUAUCAGGAGGAACACCGAUGGCGAAGGCAGGUCUCUGGGCCGAUACUGACGCUGAGGAGCGAAAGCGUGGGGAGCGAACAGG